AGUUAGAAAAAAAUAGGCAAUAAGACGCCUCCAGUUCUGUACGAAUAUACGGUACAAACGGGGAAUUUCAAUUCAGGAUGCAAAGUUUCACGUGAGAGACGUUAUCACAUAUGAUCACAAGGAGUCAUGUUGUGCUUCCGUGCAAAAAUCAAAGUUCGUUAUACAUUACUGUUGUUCUCGUUUUUUGCCUUUUCAUUUUAUGGCAUUGCAAGAGUUCGGACAUUUUUACAUCACACAGUAGCCAAGGAAACAAAUAAUGACGUAGCUCCUGACGUCAUUCGUCGCUCUUUAACCGCAAGGUGGCACGACAGUAGGGAACUUCUCAAUAAAAUUUCUAAAACGAGGAAUAAGUUUUUAGCUGGAGAGAGAACACCUCCGAAAUGGGACUCUGGCGUAGAUGGGCAACUAGUCAUCGAAGAAGACAAUUGGCCGCCAACAAAGUCUGACCCUGUGACCCAAAAGGACUUGAUAGCAAACGAAAAUGAAAUUAUUGAAAAUAGUGAUAUAGAUAUUCCCGACUCUUGGGAUGAGAAUUCUUUAAUAGACGAUAAAAAUGAAGCCGAAUUGCGUGAAACUACUGUUCCUAAUCCUGAAGAAGACUUUGGGGGAAAUAAUUACGAUGAUGCUGAUGUUCAAGAUUCAAAAAAACAAAAUACGUACAAUAAAGAUUUUAUGGAUGAUAUAGAAGCUCAAUCUAGGGAAGCUUAUCCAGGAAUUGAAGAAAGCAGACAGAAUAAUCACAAAAAAGAUGAUCCCACGCAGAAUUUUCAACUCAACCUGAAACUUGACACGAGACAUGAUGACGAACAGCCGCAAUAUGAUAACGGAGACGUUCAUGCUGAAACCAUCGAGGAAUACGGUGAAAACGAGGAAGAAGAUGAACCAGAAAUUGCUGAAGACGCUGAAGAAUACGACGAUAAUAAACCCGACGAAAAUAAUCAAGGAAUUGCCACGGAAAAAAUACCUGAAAAUAGAAAUACAAAUCAAAAAUUUAAUAAAACAAUUUUCCAGCCAAAUGACAGCAAAAUCAAGUAUUACAUAUCUGAAAACUUGGAAUCGUUCACUCGUUCACAAAUUAAUGGAAGCAGAAUUGCGAAUUUUGGAAGAGCAAAUGAUUUUCCCAUGUCUCCAGAAGAUGCGGUCAGAAAAUAUGGCGAUGAUCUUCCAUCUUGGGAGAAAUAUGAGAUUUUUCAUUAUCCAAAAAUAUAUUAUCUCGGACUUGGAGCAAACAAAACUCGAGUUCAACAAAACAUAAGCAAUAAUUUUGGAUUCGAUUUUGAUGCAGGAACGGAAAAGGAAGGACAUUAUAAAGUGGUGAUAGGCGAUCACAUAGGUUAUCGAUAUGAAAUACUGAAGUAUGUUGAUGCUGGUACAUUCGGUGCUGUUGUCCUGGCAAGAGAUUGGUCAAACCCGAUUGCCAGAGACGUAGCUCUGAAGAUCAUGCAUUUAGAUGAAGAAGAAAAAUAUUUUCUGAGAGAAGUCAGAAUGAUGGAAUACUUGGAAAAAUAUGCAUCAAAUCAUAAUUAUUUUUCGAGAAUGAUCGCGACGUUUCAGUUCCGUAAUCAUUGGUGCAUUGUCAUGGAAUUACUCGGGCACGCCGUUGAUCGUCACUACUUGGGACACCCAGUACGAGAUCCUCAUAUAUUGAGGCAAUUCUCCAGCGAUAUCAUAAAAGCAAUGUAUUAUCUGAACGAACUCAAUAUUGUGCACGGAGAUUUAAAACCGGACAACAUCAUGUACAUAUACGGAAAGAAUAAUGAAAGUAAAGGACAACUUCUAAAAGUAGCAGAUUUUGGAAUAAGUUGUAUCCCUGGCUCGGAAGAUUAUCACUGCCCUGAGUAUUACAUCCAAACUCGUUAUUACCGAGCACCAGAGGUUAUUCUGAGUUUACCGAUCACUCCCCAGUGUGACAUGUUCAGUGUCGGAGUGAUUUUGGCAGAGUUCUGGUUGGGUGUUCCACCUUUCUUUGGGGAAACCGAGGCCGAUCAACUGGCAGCAAUGAUGGAAGUAAUCGGCCUUCCACCAACAUACAUGAUUGCAAAAUCUCGGAGAAAGAAAAUCUAUGCAAAAGCAAUAUGUUACACAACUGAAAACGGAUUUCACCGUAAACCUUAUCGCAAGCCUUUGACCAAAGUCCUGAACGGAAUGGAUCCAAUGUUGUUUGAUUUAAUUGCAAGAUGUCUGGAAUGGGAUCCAAAGGUGAGGAUAACUCCAGAAAAAGCGUUACGGCACCCAUUCUUCACUGGAUCAUAUCCAGCUGUUGGACUCCCACCACCAUUACUCAUUAAGCGGUUAUUUGGUGAAGUUUGAUGCGAUAUUGAGCUACCAAAAGAUACAGGAACGACGCACCGGAAAUUUUUGAAAUAUUUGUUGCUUUUUGCCUUGUUUAAUUCUUCAAUUAAUGAGAGUAAGGUAGAUGUGCUAGAAGGUAGAAUGCUAAGCGUGAUAUUGCAAACUGGUACCAUUGAAUAAUGAAAUGGGUAUUGCAUUAUAGAAGCACGAUUGUAGAAUGUGCAGACCAUAAUUCGUCAGUGGCGCGGGAUUUUAAUAAAAAACAAUAUUAUCGUCACGUGAGCCAAAUAUUUAUUGUAAUUUUUGCGCAUAAAAUGUUUGUGCUGGAUUUUCUGUUGGAAUUCUGUUUUAUGCAAACGAAUCCAGUGCCUCGUUUUAUCAAAUUAAUCAUACAAUGUUUCAACAAUAAAAUAAAAAAUAACUUAGCGGGUAC